rnacentral:tRNA from 2 species
CGUAGCUCAGUGGAUAGAGCGUCUGCCUCCGGAGCAGAAGGUCGUAGGUUCGAGUCCUAUCGAG